UACGUAGGGGGCAAGCGUUAUCCGGAUUUACUGGGUGUAAAGGGGGCGCAGACGGCGAUGCAAGCCAGGAGUGAAAGCCCAGGGCCCAACCCCGGGACUGCUCUUGGAACUGCGUGGCUGGAGUGCAGGAGGGGUAAGUGGAAUUCCUAGUGUAGCGGUGAAAUGCGUAGAUAUUAGGAGGAACACCAGUGGCGAAGGCGGCUUACUGGACUGUAACUGACGUUGAGGCUCGAAAGCGUGGGGAGCAAACAGG
rnacentral:rRNA from 1 species